AAUCUGGUUGAUCCUGCCAGCGUGAUAUGCUUCUUUCAAGGACUAAUCCAUGCAAGUGUUCGUUUACACGGACACGACGUGUCUCCUGAGAUGCUGCCGUGAAAGCCUAGUGAAUCUGUAUAUGGCUCAUUACACCAGUGAUAAUCUACUCGGAAAAUGCUCGAACGCUUCCUUUUUGCUGUCGUCGUGUGAGAAAAAAGAUACGUAAGGCGAGGAGAGAUUCGGCUACCUCCCUUCGUAUCUACAAAGACAUGUACGGGUUGUGGGUUGCCUUUUGAAGCUCAGAAACGGGAGUCACCGAGAUCGGGUGGUCAUCCCUCUGAAACAGAUGGCUAAUACAUGUUGCGAAAAAUCCAUUCUCUUGAAACGGAGGAGAAUUAAAGGAUUUUGGUUGUGGUCUCUUGCGGUGGAAUGUUCUUUCGUAUGCCUUUCUUUGAUCAAAAGGCAUAGAGUUAUAUCCAUCGGCUUUUUCUCUGCAAAGAAAAAACCUUCCUCGACGCGGAAUGUAUCGAGAUUGAUGGAUGUGGUAGGCUGAAACAAAGACCGACGUCUUUCCCCCCCUUUUCCCAGAAUCCCCCCCUCUCUCUCUCUUGAGAGGAGGAGGAAGGGGGAGGGGAGGGAGCGAAAAAGACAGAGGUGUGGUUGUGGUGUUGCGUUGAUUCAGGCCUACCCCCAAACAAAUACCGUUCCCUUUCUCUCUUCUCUUGAGGGAGAGAGCGGUGAUUUCGUUUGGUGGAGAUUUCGGCUACGGCUGAAAUCGAGAGUUCUCACAGCGGCGAAGCAAAACAGCGAAGUUCGACACGUUCUCGUAGCAUUUGAGAGGAAUGCACGAGUGGGUAGUGGUGCGUUAUCCUUGUGAUUGGCCAUUUUCGAUCCCCCCACUCUAAAAUGCCCCUUCUCCCUCUCGGUGGGGAGUUGGGAAACAAAGAGAGCGCUAUGGGGGUAUGCGCCUAGCUGUACGAGUUUCUGUCCUAUCAGCCAUGAAUUGGGAUGGCGGGGAUUGAAAUGGCAAUCACAGGUAACGGGGAAUUGGGGUUUGAUUCCGGAGAAGAAGCCUGAAACAUGGCUUCUACAGCUAAGGCUGGCAGCAGGAGCGAAAAUUGCCCACUACUGAUCACAGUGAGGCAGCGAAGAAGAGUAUCAUCUCCAUUGGAGAAUUUCACUUCAGUGGUGCAUGGCAUGUAUGCUUUCGUAAACAAAGCAGUGAGUAUCAACUGGAGGGCAAGCCUGGUGCCAGCAGCCGCGGUAAUUCCAGCUCCAGUGGCGUAUGCUGAUGUUGUUGAUGUUAAAAAGCUCGUAGUCGAUUGCAUUUUACCUCAGCGGGGGAACGGUUGGCGUUGUGGGGGUGGUCCAAAUAAGAANGGGUUUCUCUCCCUCUUCCUUACAUCCUUGCAGCGUUGAUGCGGUUCCCCUUGCUUUUGGUAAAGAACCAUGUAGUGGAAGCGAUUUUCCUGACUCUCAAUAAGAGAGGAGCGAGGGAAAGAAAGGGGAUCUUUCCUCCGACUUUCCUUCCUUCUUCUCUCUUUUUGUUUGAUUGUUGCGCAUAUCAGUGAGAUUCUCUAUUCUCGCAAGUGCCUCGUGCAGAACGGAACGUCCAAAGCUUUUGUUACCAUGACUAAACCAGAGCGCUAAAAGCAUCCCGAUUCGUCGAGGUUGCAUCGUCGGAAGUGUGGAAUAACAAGGGAUCAUCCAAAGUCACACGGAAGGAGGGAGCUGCUUCUUCCUCCUUCCCGAACAUGUUUCUGUCGGUGUUUGAUUUGUGAUUUGGCGAAAGAUAGGGAGUUGAGUUGUCUGCGGUCGGGGAGUUUGGAGGAAAUCGGAAAGGGGAGAAGCUUGAAAUCCCUUUUUCCUUUCCCCCUCCAUCUUCCUUUCCCUCUCAACUCUUCUCCCGCCUUCCAAGAAGGGAAGGGUUGGAAAAUGGAGGGAGGUAACUUCCGCGGGGGCCGGAGAAACGGCGUUCUCCCCCCUUCCUUACCUUUCUCUUUUUCUCUUGCCCUUCUCUUCGCGGGAGUUUCCAAAAGAACGUUGAGUCGUUCUUCUUAGCUUGUGUCAACUGAGAUCGUUAACGUUUGAGGUUCGUGAACCUUGUCGCGAGUGGUGAAAUACUUGGACCGACAUGUGUCAACCCAAGGCGAAAGCACGGACCGAACUCGGUCCUGCCGGUCAAGAACGAGAGUGUAGGGAUCAAAGAUGAUCAGAUACCGUCGUAGUCUACUGCUGUAAACGAUGCUUGCACGGUGCUGGUUGCCAAUUCCCUGUUGAUGCUCCCUUUCCCUUUGUCUUCUUCUUUCUCCCUCCGGGGAAAACGUUGGAGGCGGGGGAUUGUUCGUUGGAGUUCAACUCCCUAAGUGGGGCCUGUUUUCGGGGAGAUUCCUCUCUCUCUCCUUCUUCAGGUCUCGUCUUCAAACUUAGAUGGAAUUUUUUGCAACCAGUGCUACUCCCUAACCUCCGAGAAAUCCAAAGCUUAUGGGUUCAUGGGGGAGUAUAAUCUCAAGACCGAAACUUAAAGGAAUUGACGGGAUGGCACCACAAGGCGUGGAGUAUGCGGCUUAAUUUGACUCAACACGGGAAACGUUACCAGAUCAGCACAGUGCAAUGAUGGACAGGCUGCGAUUUCUUUCCUGAUUCUCUGAACAGUGGUGCAUGGCCGCUCCUGGUUGGUGGAGCGAUUUGUCUGGUUGAGUCCGGUAACGAGCGAGACCUCCGCUUCUUAUUGACAAUCAGUCUCAAACCCCCUUUUCUGCGUAGAGGAUGCUAGCGUGACGGAGGAAUCCGUCAGUCCCCCGUCAAACGGGGACAAGCGCUGGCCCUCGAGAGUUCUGUUAGCAAAGUUUUUUCGUUCUCUUUUCUUCGUCCCUCUCCGAAGGAAGAAACAAAAAACAAGAAAAAACAAAAAACGUAGGAGCGUUACCCGCAAUUGCUAGCCUCUUUACACAGCAGCAUUCGGUGCAAUUAACCUUGUUUUUUUUUGCUGGUUUUUUUUUUCCCCCACUCGUCGUCGUAGAAAGAUCGUCGUAGCAUGUGUGAACGCGAAACAAGGAUGAAUUUGCCCAUCCUUAGAAAAAAAAAAAGGAAGAGGAAGAUAGAUUUACCUUGCCUUUGCCCGAGGUAUUCUAUUCUCUCCUCUCCUUUUCGAUCCUGUUGAGUUUCUUUGCGUCUUAGAAGGUUCGAACACCAUGUGUUCUGUUGUAGUGUUACCACAUUCGGGAGUCGACAGCAGGUCUGUGAUGCCCUCAGAUGCUCUGGGCUGCACGCGCGCGACACUGAUAAGGGUAGUCCGUGCGUGGUGUGGUCCUGGUGGCCACAACGUUUCCUAUCUCCUUCCCUGCCCUUUUCCCUCCCUCCCGGGAGGAAAAGGGGGAGCCUGGGGCGGGGGCUCUGCGAAACGAUGCCUAGCUUGAGAAAGGAAAGAGAGAGAUCUCGGGAAAUCGUUCCCAACCCCUCUCGAGCUUGGAAUCGGUGAUUGUGCUUCGAAUUAUUUGCCUUGAACGUGGAAUGUCUAGUAAGCGCAAGUCAUCAGCUUGCACUGAUUGUGUCCCUGCCCUCUGUACACACCGCCCGUCGUUGCUACCGAUUAUGAAAUAAUAGAGACUUAUCGAGAUGAAAGCUGGAUCCCACUUCUCGGAGAGCGGGUGAAAGCUGGAAUUGAAGUCAGGCGAUGUUCUUUCAUUGGAGGAAGCAAAAGUCGUAACAAGGUUGCUGUAGGUGAACCUGCAGAAGGAUCA
rnacentral:rRNA from 1 species